UUGAUUUAAAAUAUGAUUAUGAGCUAUUCACCAAGUAUGCCUAAAUAAGAAAUGCAAUAUAUAUGCAAUUGUAUGUUCUCGCAAUUUUGAAUAAGUCCCAUUGAUGUCCAAUAUUCUUGCAAAAUGAUCGCCAGUAUUUUGUACCUUAGCAGCCUUCUGUGUCACGUCAUUAUCGAAACUGAUGCCAAGAAAAUUUUAUUCCUAAUGGCUCAAUCAAAAAGUCAUAUGUUGCCGGCAAUACCUGUUGCCGAGGAGAUGGUAAAGUUAAACCAUACAACUACUUUUGUGGUAGCAGCUAGAAUGAAAGAGGCGUUGGAAUCAGAAGGCAUUAAACUUUCACCUUCUAUCAUUGCAAAGAGUUUUGAUAACUAUUAUUAUGAGGACAUUAUUCGGGUAAC